CCUACGGGUGGCUGCAGUGAGGAAUAUUGGUCAAUGGACGAGAGUCUGAACCAGCCAAGUAGCGUGAAGGAUGACUGCUCUAUGGGUUGUAAACUUCUUUUAUAUGGGAAUAAAACAGGGUAUGCAUAUCCUCUUGUAUGUAUCAUAUGAAUAAGGAUCGGCUAACUCCGUGCCAGCAGCCGCGGUAAUACGGAGGAUCCGAGCGUUAUCCGGAUUUAUUGGGUUUAAAGGGUGCGUAGGUGGAUUGUUAAGUCAGUUGUGAAAGUUUGCGGCUCAACCGUAAAAUUGCAGUUGAAACUGGCCGUCUUGAGUACAGUAGAGGUAGGCGGAAUGCGUGGUGUAGCGGUGAAAUGCUUAGAGAUCACGAAGAACUCCGAUUGCGAAGGCAGCUCACUGGACUACAUCUGACACUGAUGCUCGAAAGUGUGGGUAGCAAACAGGAUUAGAUACCCGUGUAGUC
rnacentral:rRNA from 1 species